CGGACGGGUUGGUAACGCGUGAGAACCUGCUCUAGGACGGGGCUACAGUUGGAAACGACUGUCUAAACCCGGAUGAGCCGAAAGGUAAAAGAUUUAUCGCCUAGAGAGGGGCUUGCGUCUGAUUAGCUAGUUGGUAAGGUAAAGGCUUACCAAGGCGACCAUCAGUAGCUGGUCUGAGAGGAUGAUCAGCCACACUGGGACUGAGACACGGCCCAGACUCCUACGGGAGGCAGCAGUGGGGAAUUUUCCGCAUGGGCGAAAGCCUGACGGAGCAAGACCGCGUGGGGGAGGAAGGUUCUUGGAUUGUCAACCCCUUUUCUCAGGGAAGAACAAAAUGACGGUACCUGAGGAAAAACCAUCGGCUAACUCCGUGCCAGCAGCCGCGGUAAUACGGGGGAUGCAAGCGUUAUCCGGAAUGAUUGGGCGUAAGAGUCCGUAGGUAGCCAAUCAAGUCUGCUGUUAAAGAGCGAGGCUUAACUUCGUAAAGGCAGUGGAAACUGGAAGGCUAGAGUGUAGUAGGGGCAGAGGGAAUUCCUGGUGUAGCGGUGAAAUGCGUAGAGAUCAGGAAGAACACCGGUGGCGAAGGCGCUCUGCUGGGCUAUAACUGACACUGAGGGACGAAGCUAGGGAGCGAAUGGGAUUAGAUACGCAGUAGUCACGCGUUAUCACCCGU
rnacentral:rRNA from 1 species